UUCAGGAUGGCCGAGUGGUUAUGGUAUCGGACUUCUAUUCCGAUCGACUGUUGUGUCUGUAGGUUCAAUUCCUGUUCCUGAAA
rnacentral:tRNA from 1 species